UCCCCCACUGACUGUCGGCCCUGCCCCCGCAGUUUUAGAUGAUAGAGAUGAGAUGAGGUUCAUGCCCACUCCUGGGCGACCCACCCCUGUUGCUGUCCCCCCUGAGUUUGUGCAUACCGAGUUUAUCCAGACACAGAUACCCAUCCCCCCAGCAGAGCCUUCGCACAUCGAGGAUCGGCCACGAAGGCCGCAACGCACACGGACACAUCCUCCUGACUGUGGGACUGGACAUGGCAAGGUGAGACCAGUGAAGGAACCGGUGAGGAGAAGAAAACGAGAAUGAUUCAAGGGUAGAAUUUGUGCUACUUUGGGUUGGUAAUGGUAUAGGAUCUUUUUGUCAUGUAUCGGAUCUUCUUGUAUAUAUUUUAUAUGAUGAGCCACUAUUAUGCAAUCCACAUGGAUUACAAGAUAUAGACUGGAAUGUUAUAGGCAUUCUUAUAUAGAUGAUUUCAUGGUAGUGGUUGAUAAGCAUUGUGCAUGCUUUAGUAAGCAUUGUGGCAACAAUCAGUUGUUAUGGGAUGUUUCUAUUAAUGGGUAUUUGCUAAUUGUAGAGAUGAAUGUAGAAUGUUUAGAAAUGCAAUACAAGGAAACUUUUUGUUGAAGUUGGGCGUAACGAAUGUAGAUGCAAUUAUAACUGUGAAUUUUAUUAUUAAUUGUGUGUUCAGCCUCUAGAAAGGGUCUACGAAGUGGAAUUAUUAACAUUGUUUAGAUUUAGGUCCAAUGUAGAGUGGAUUUGGCGACCCAAACCUUUCAAAUCUCGCCUGUCAAGGGCUGGAAUUUUUAUUGUGUAUUUGUAUAUUUAUCAAAUUUUUCACCUUUGAAACUUAUGAGGAACCCUUUAUUGUAAAGGUCAGCUACUGCCAUAUCAAAUUAGACGGGGGGGGAAUUUUCAGGUUCAGUUGAGCAGUUACAAGUUUUGGAAGGAUUUUUUGUUCAGUACCUACAUACUACUAAUUUUUUUUUUUGGUAAAAGGUACCAAAAGGCUGGGACAAGUUGGUUGUAUCUAUUAUCUCUAUUGAAACUGGGAAAACAAUUGCGAAGUCAAGCAAAGCACUUGUACAUAAUGGAAGUUGUCAGUGGACGGAUUCUAUUUCAGAAACUAUAUGUUUUUUGCAGGAUGACUCUUCAAAGGAGCUACAGGAUUGUUUCUUCAAGCUUGUUGUCUCCAUGGGUUCAACUAGAUCUGGCAUCCUUGGAGAGGCUACAGUCAAUAUGACAGGCUAUAUGAGUUCACCUGCUCCUGUUCCAGUUUCACUAAGAUUGAAAAAGUGCAAUCAUGGGACAAUUUUACAAGUAUAUUAUCAUUCCUAUCAUAGCGGAGAAGCACAUAAAGAGUAUUGUGUGAUCAUAGAAUACUUAUGAAGUUGAAGGAAAAUUUUUAUUAGACUGCUAUUAGACUCAGUAUGCGUUGUGGUAUUGAAAGUGAGACUGGGAAGAAGUAACAUAUUCAUGCAAAAAUGAGAAUAUUAAAAUGAAUAGGUGGAAAUACACAGAAAGAUAGGAUUCGAAAUGAGGAAACUAUUUUAAAGAUCAGUGUUUAACAAAGG